rnacentral:rRNA from 1 species
AACGAACGCUGGCGGCAGGCCUAACACAUGCAAGUCGAACGCUGUAGCAAUACAGAGUGGCAGACGGGUGAGUAACGCGUGGGAACAUGCCCUUCGGUUCGGAAUAACUCAGGGAAACUUGAGCUAAUACCGGAUACGCCCUUAGGGGGAAAGAUUUAUUGCCGAAGGAUUGGCCCGCGUCCGAUUAGCUAGUUGGUGAGGUAACGGCUCACCAAGGCGACGAUCGGUAGCUGGUCUGAGAGGAUGAUCAGCCACACUGGGACUGAGACACGGCCCAGACUCCUACGGGAGGCAGCAGUGGGGAAUAUUGGACAAUGGGCGCAAGCCUGAUCCAGCCAUGCCGCGUGAGUGAUGAAGGCCCUAGGGUUGUAAAGCUCUUUCGCCAGGGACGAUAAUGACGGUACCUGGAUAAGAAGCACCGGCUAACUACGUGCCAGCAGCCGCCGUAAAAC